GCUACUUUUUUAAAAAAAAAGUUAAGUAAAGGUACUGAGAUUGUUUUGUCUGCUAUAAAUGAUUUUUCCAGACAGAGAUGGCAGACUCUUCAACUUCUUGCAUCGGGAUUUGGUAGGUUUCAGCUCGGCUGCAGUACUCAGAUGUCUGAUUCUGACUGUUUCACCUUGGAAAACUGAGGACCGAGGCUGUGGUGGAUGCACGCGUUUACCUUUUUGCUGGAUUUUGAUUGAAUUUCUGGGUUGCUUGCUUUCUUGUAGUGCUUGCUGCUCCUGCUGUUGUUAUUAGCCUAUCUCCCUUAUUAUACCAGGAAACCUGGAGUGGAGCCACAGCUUUGCAAAGAAUAGUUACUAAUCUCUCAGAGCUCAGGAGAAAGUAGCAGAGAAUACACCUCUGUACUGGAGGAGAAUGGAGCAUCUCUUCAGGUGAAGGUGUCACACUGUUGAAUAGAAGGACUUCUCGCAAAAACUGACUUAUCUUCAGAACAUAGCAUUGCUCAAGGGAGUUGCCUUGAAUGUUUCGUACAGUUCACUUUUUAAGAAAGAGAAGAGAUAGCGUUUCUGAGAACACUAUGAAAGUAACUCUGUUGGGAGACAUCACUAUCAUUCAUCUAGAAACAGUUCUCUCAGUUAACAUGUUCUGUCUGUUGUUGAUUUCCAUAGUUCUGCAGUGUGUCAUUUAAUGUGA